CAGUACAGGAAUUGAACUCGUACUGUUGGUGUCACUCUGCAUUGCAAACCAGCCAUCUAGCCAAGUGAGUUAACCUAUACCUGUGCUAACAGGGGUGGUGAAUACCAAGGUGCCAGGAGUGGUUGUCUGGUAAAGUACCUCAUAGUUGCAGUGAUAUGGAUCUGACACCCUUGCAUAAGGAGAAGAAAUCCACAAGACCCAGAAGAAAAUAAAUUGCAAAAAAGCCACAGGAUAGGUGCCAGGAGGACUGGAAGGCAGGAAGUGCAGUAGCACAGAUCGCGAAGUGCAGUGUUAUGAUGGAGUUAAAGCGGCAGAAGUCUGGAGAGAGCACAAGGGGACUGCUGGGAAGAACUUUACUUCAAACAGUGCUGUGACAUAGUCUUACCUGUGCUGCUGUUCAAAGAUCCACAUCUAGGGGGAAUUAAAAAAAAAACAUCUAGCUGAAUCCAGAGAGUCAUCUGACACCCAGUGUGUUUUAAAACUUCAGAAAUGGACAACCCAGAGGAAAAAAGCAAAGCAAGUGUCACAAAAUCAACUUUGAAGAGCCAUAAACAGAAAUAGAGAUGCUUCACAAUACUUCCUCCUUGCACUCAACGCCUUCAAACAUCAUUGUCCACUAGUAGGAAAUGGUUUGAUGACAGAUAACAUCAAAUGUAUAAGCUUCCCCCUUUUGUCACCAUAGAUAAUGUUCACAAAAAAGGUUCACACUACACAGUACUGUUAUAGAAGCAACUGCAGUAUGACACAAAUAUCGUUUGCUGUUUCAAAAUUACUUUUAGAUUACAUAUGUGGAUGAAGCCUGUCUGUGGGUUCACUUAAGCUGUAGUAAUAAGUAGCCUUUUUUGGAAAAGAUCAUUUGUCUUUUUUUUGCCAAAAGUACAAUUCUCCUGUCACAUUGUAAUUUUAUUCAUAGCUCAAAGACUAUACCAAUGGAGCUGACAAAGCUUGAAUGCAGCUUUGACAGUAAUGGGUGCUUUCACACGAUAAUGAUACAUAAAAUUACAUAGCACUCAGUGGUAACAUUAAUGUUGAGAAACUGGCACACAGCUGCAAUUCAUUAAGCCACAUUUUACUUAAGAUCCCAAGGUUACAAAUCAGCACUGAAAAUGGAUACUGUCCUCUAGCACCUUAACAAUAUCCUAAAUUUCACUUAUGAAGAUGUGCUCACUAAGAUAAAAUCAUCUGAAAUGAACUAUGAUCCUACUAUAUCUCCAAUGACUAAGAAUUAUAUACUUGUGGAAUGUGGCCCACAUUUUUUUUUUUAAUUGUUCAUGAAAACACAAUUUCUUACUGGAUAACUGGUUAUAGAGCUGCUUAAGGAUUCUGCACCAGAUAAACAACUUGCAGUUCUAAUUUAAAUGCUUGUCUUGACUGGUUUUCUAUUGCUAUUUACUCCUGCAUUUUGUUUUAGGACAUGGACAGGCUGCUGAAUGAAAAUUUUACUGAAGUGGGGUGGUAUCUCUUAAACAAGGAAGUCUUAAGAUUAUGUAGUGUCACAAUUUGAGCCAAAGGGAUACAAUCCUGAUCAACCUGUUCAAAGAUGUUAUGACACCACUGGAGCAGGUAGCAUUUGAACCUGGGCCUCCUGGCUCAGAGGUAGACAGUAAACUACUGCCAUGCCACAAGCACCCUAAAGCUGAGGGCAUGAAGGGAGAGUACUUAAAUAAGUUGUAAGCUAUAUUACGAGGGUGACACCAGCUGCAGUUCUUCACAUUUGAUGCACGAUAUUGAGUUCAACUAGCACUUCCUCCUCGUUAAAUUGUUAAAACCGGAUUACAGCAAACAGGAAAUGCAAAUACUUUCACAGCCUUAGUACAAAGUUCACCACAGAUCAUCGUGAAAUUCUGUUUAUUAAUUUGAAAUGCAACUUGGAGUUUUGCUUAUAAUGCUCAUUUAAAAUUUCAGUUUCAAAGCUACAUUGUCUUAAAUUCAAAUAAAAGUUGAAGAAAUGA